rnacentral:rRNA from 1 species
CGGGCAGCGUGCACAGGUGCUGCAUGGUUGUCGUCAGCUCGUGUCGUGAGAUGUUGGGUUAAGUCCCGCAACGAGCGCAACCCCUAUUGUUAGUUGCCAUCAUUCAGUUGGGCACUCUAGCGAGACUGCCGGUAAUAAACCGGAGGAAGGUGGGGAUGACGUCAAAUCAUCAUGCCCCUUAUGACCUGGGCUACACACGUGCUACAAUGGUUGGUACAACGAGUUGCGAGUCGGUGACGGCGAGCUAAUCUCUUAAAGCCAAUCUCAGUUCGGAUUGUAGGCUGCAACUCGCCUACAUGAAGUCGGAAUCGCUAGUAAUCGCGGAUCAGCACGCCGCGGUGAAUACGUUCCCGGGCCUU